rnacentral:rRNA from 1 species
UACGUAGGGGGCGAGCGUUAAUCGGAAUUACUGGGCGUAAAGCGUGUGCAGGCGGUCUGUUAAGACAGGUGUGAAAUCCCCGGGCUCAACCUGGGAACUGCAUUUGUGACUGCAUGGCUAGAGUACGGUAGAGGGGGAUGGAAUUCCGCGUGUAGCAGUGAAAUGCGUAGAUAUGCGGAGGAACACCGAUGGCGAAGGCAAUCCCCUGGACCUGUACUGACGCUCAUGCACGAAAGCGUGGGGAGCAAACAGG